rnacentral:rRNA from 1 species
AUUGAACGCUGGCGGCAGGCCUAACACAUGCAAGUCGAGCGGAGCGGCGGACGGGUGCGUAAUGCCUAGGAAUCUGCCUGGUAGUGGGGGAUAACGUCCGGAACCGGGCGCUACUACCGCAUACUAUCAGAUGAGCCUAGGUCGGAUUAGCUAGUUGGUGGGGUAAAGGCCUCCCAAGGCGACGAUCCGUAACUGGUCUGAGUGGAUGAUCAGUCACGCUGCAACUGAGGCACGGGCCAGACUCCGACGGGAGGCAGCAGUGGGGAAGAUGGGAGACUGGGCGAAAGCCUGAUCCAGCCAUGCCGCGUGUGGGAAGAAGGUCGUCGGAUUGUAGAGAAUUUUAAGUUGGGAGGCGUUACCAACAGAAUAAGCACCGGUUAACUUCGGGCCAGCAGCCGCGGUAAUGC